rnacentral:rRNA from 1 species
CCUACGGGAGGCAGCAGUCGAGAAUCAUUCACAAUGGGGGAAACCCUGAUGGUGCGACGCCGCGUGAAGGAAGAAGGCUUUCGGGUUGUAAACUUCUUUUCUCAGGGACGAAGCAAGUGACGGUACCUGAGGAAUAAGCCACGGCUAACUACGUGCCAGCAGCCGCGGUAAUACGUAGGUGGCAAGCGUUAUCCGGAUUUACUGGGUGUAAAGGGCGUGUAGGCGGGGACGCAAGUCAGAUGUGAAAACCACGGGCUCAACCUGUGGCCUGCAUUUGAAACUGUGUUUCUUGAGUACUGGAGAGGCAGACGGAAUUCCUAGUGUAGCGGUGAAAUGCGUAGAGAUUAGGAGGAACACCAGUGGCGAAGGCGGUCUGCUGGACAGCAACUGACGCUGAGGCGCGAAAGCGUGGGGAGCAAACAGGAUUAGAUACCCCGGUAGUC